GCUGGCGGCAGGCUUAACACAUGCAAGUCGAGCGGGCGUAGCAAUACGUCAGCGGCAGACGGGUGAGUAACGCGUGGGAACGUACCUUUUGGUUCGGAACAACACAGGGAAACUUGUGCUAAUACCGGAUAAGCCCUUACGGGGAAAGAUUUAUCGCCGAAAGAUCGGCCCGCGUCUGAUUAGCUAGUUGGUGAGGUAACGGCUCACCAAGGCGACGAUCAGUAGCUGGUCUGAGAGGAUGAUCAGCCACAUUGGGACUGAGACACGGCCCAAACUCCUACGGGAGGCAGCAGUGGGGAAUAUUGGACAAUGGGCGCAAGCCUGAUCCAGCCAUGCCGCGUGAGUGAUGAAGGCCCUAGGGUUGUAAAGCUCUUUUGUGCGGGAAGAUAAUGACGGUACCGCAAGAAUAAGCCCCGGCUAACUUCGUGCCAGCAGCCGCGGUAAUACGAAGGGGGCUAGCGUUGCUCGGAAUCACUGGGCGUAAAGGGUGCGUAGGCGGGUCUUUAAGUCAGGGGUGAAAUCCUGGAGCUCAACUCCAGAACUGCCUUUGAUACUGAGGAUCUUGAGUUCGGGAGAGGUGAGUGGAACUGCGAGUGUAGAGGUGAAAUUC
rnacentral:rRNA from 1 species